rnacentral:rRNA from 1 species
UACGUAGGGGGCAAGCGUUGUCCGGAAUCACUGGGCGUAAAGCGCGCGUAGGCGGCCCGGUAAGUCCGUUGUGAAAGUCAAAGGCUCAACCUUUGAAUGCCGAUGGAUACUGCCGGGCUAGAAUCCGGAAGAGGCGAGUGGAAUUCCUGGUGUAGCGGUGGAAUGCGCAGAUAUCAGGAGGAACACCAAUAGCGAAGGCAGCUCGCUGGGACGGUAUUGACGCUAAGGCGCGAAAGCGUGGGGAGCAAACAGG